rnacentral:rRNA from 1 species
AUUGAACGCUGGCGGCAGGCCUAACACAUGCAAGUCGAGCGGAUGAAGGGAGCUUGCUCCUGGAUUCAGCGGCGGACGGGUGAGUAAUGCCUAGGAAUCUGCCUGGUAGUGGGGGAUAACGUCCGGAAACGGGCGCUAAUACCGCAUACGUCCUGAGGGAGAAAGUGGGGGAUCUUCGGACCUCACGCUAUCAGAUGAGCCUAGGUCGGAUUAGCUAGUUGGUGGGGUAAAGGCCUACCAAGGCGACGAUCCGUAACUGGUCUGAGAGGAUGAUCAGUCACACUGGAACUGAGACACGGUCCAGACUCCUACGGGAGGCAGCAGUGGGGAAUAUUGGACAAUGGGCGAAAGCCUGAUCCAGCCAUGCCGCGUGUGUGAAGAAGGUCUUCGGAUUGUAAAGCACUUUAAGUUGGGAGGAAGGGCAGUAAGUUAAUACCUUGCUGUUUUGACGUAACCAACAGAAUAAGCACCGGCGAACUUCGU